ensembl:lncRNA
CAUCCUUGCCCGGGCUGGGACCUUGGGGCCUGCUUGCUGUUUCCUCUCUGGCCUGCAGUUUACAGAGUGUCUUUGGCCAGCACAGUACUGGCUGCCGAACAGGAAUGGCAGCAAAAAAGCCCCAAACAAACAAAACUCCACAGAACUGCCCAGCCCUGCCUCCUUCUCCCUCUCCUUAUUUGCCUUUUGUCCCUUUCCCUGUCCUAGCUCCACCCAUGACUCUCUCCACCUCUUGGGGGUCAUCUGAUCCAGGCCACUGACUCUGACCAGGGCUCCUUUCCCCUAGCCAGGAGGAUCCCUACCCUCACUGAGCACUGGAUGAGACCUUCUCCCGGCCUCGGUGCAGUCAAAGAAGCUGGAAGCUCUACCCAUUCUUCAGACAAGAAGGUCCUGGCUACUGACCAAUUUGCUGCCAGCUGGAAAGAUGACAUCAACUUGAAUGAUCAGAACAGAUAGUUCUCAUUGAACAGAACAAUUUUCUUUCUAUUGAAGAAAAUUUAAUGGGACAUAAAAAAAAUUUAGUGGGACAACUAAUAUAGAACUUAAAACAAUCUACAAGAACAAAAGUACUUCUAUGAGAAUUCAACAACGUAUUUCUAAAGAUUAUCUGAGAAUAAAAAUUAUUUGACAGCCAGGGAUUUAGCUCAGUGAUUCUGCUGCCUGCCUCACAAGUGCAAGGUCCCAAGUUCAAUCCCCGGUACAAAAAUAAAACGAAACAAAACAAAAAUAAUUUGGCAAUUUAUAAAUAUUCCAAAUUGAAAAUCCAGUAGAUGAAGUCAAAAGUAGAAUAAAUAAUUCUGGGCCAUAGAGGAAGUCAUUUAGGAGAUUAAAUGGAGGAAUUAUCUUGUAAUAUUGGACAAAAGCAUAAAGAAAUUGAAAUUAUGUGUGAAAUGGUAAGAUCAAGGCUGUCAAAGUUAGAUCUUGUAUCUGAAUAUUUGUUCCAAAAGAAGAGAAAGGAAUAUAAGGAAUAAAACCAAUAAAGAAAGAAACAAUAGAAGAAAACUUGUGACUUAAAGAAAUACUUGAGUAUUAAGAUCAAAAGGAAGCUGGGCUGGUGGUGCAUACCUGUAAUCCUAGCACUUGGGAGACAGAGGCAGGAGGAUUACUGCACAUUCAAGGCUAGCCUGGGCUACAUAGUGUGUUCAAGGACAGCCUGAACUACAAAGUGAAACCUUGUCUCAAAAAACAAAACAAAAAAAGAUCAAAAGCAUUCUUUGAAUGUCUAGCAAGAUUAAUAAAAAUAAUAUCUAUCUAAUUAUACUCUGCUGCAAUUUAAAAUAAAAAAGUGAAAAUUCUAAACAAAUCCAGACAUAAAAAACAACCAGAAACAAAAUUAGUUAUCUGAAAAGAAAAAAAUAAUCAGAAUGUCACUGGAUGUAUCUUCUGCAACUUGGAAAACUCAAGAACCAUGAAACAAUACUCAUAAUUUCUGAUCUAAGAUUCUAAGCCAAAAAAUUAUUUACAUAUGAGUGAAGACAUUUUCAAAUAUAUAAAGAUAUCUAUGAACCCUUCCUUCCUCCUCCCCUUUCCUUUCCUUUCCUUCCCUUCCCUUCCCUUCUCUUCCCUUCCUUUUCUUUUCCUUUCUCUUUCCCUUCCCUUUUUUACUUUCUCCCUUUCUCACUUCUUCCCUUCCUCCCUCCCUUUCUUUUCUUUUUCUUUUGCAGUGUUGGGGAUUAAAACCAGUGUGCUCAGCCUAGGGAUUUAGCUCAGUGGUUUUGCUGCCUGCUGUGCAAACGCAAGGACCCGAGUUCGAUCCCUGGUAUAAAAAAAAAAAAAUCGCCAUAGGUCUAAUCCAUAUUACUACACUCUUUUGACAGUGAAAUCUGGGUUCAAAUUUAACUUGCAAAAUGAAAGUAUCUAUUAGUAAAUUUGAGUUACAAAAGCUCCCAAAUACAGGGAGAAGAAACAUGAGUAGUUACCCAGGGUCAGGUAGAGAGGGGCAUUUAGGAAGUAAAGGGACAACUUUCACCCUCCACUCCCUGCACCUCAUUCUUCUUUAAUUUUUGAAUUCUUUUUAAAAACAAUGACACUGC